AAUUAAGAAGAGAGAGACAUCAAAGAUGGAGCUGUGUUUAGCUUCUCGCUCAUCAGAGACCUUACCCGGCAGAGCUGCUUGAGGGGCUUGCUGCCAUGCGGUUUUGCUCAAAAUAGCUAGAGCACACACGUGAUAGGGUCGCUUUGGUUUACAGGGAGGAGAGGCUGAGGCUGAUGCUUCUAGAGUUGGUGUACGUUGCGUAGAGAGAGGUGAGGAUCUCACUCCAGUAUCUUGUAAGUCUGGAGUAGGACAAUACGUUGGGCCUUUUCAUUAAUGGAUGUUGUUUCUGCAUGUAUCUUGACUAUAUAUUCGAUCCGAUGCAUUACUUUAUUUUCUAGAAACUUUACUCUUAGGGUAAGUGCAAGUAAAAUGUCGGUUCACAUUGGAAAAAUUCACUCAGCGUUGUCCUUCUGUUUCAUGCAUGAUGCAAUAACCAUAAAACAUGUUUGGCACCAUGGAAGCCACAAGGUUACAGAACUAGAGACAUGUAACCUACUUAAUGCCUUAUAUCUGUCUUCCUAUGUUUAAAUAUUUAGAUAUUUUUCUCUAAAUUAUUUAGAUAUUUUUCGAUCAUGUACCGCCUCUCACUGAUUAUUUAUUUAUAGCAAAUCCAUGAAGUUUAUGAUUUUCGCAUAUAGCUAUUGUUUUACUUUUGCCUUGUUGUGACCUGUGAGUACAAUUAGUCUUCUGGCUAAAUUCUUGUUUUAUAUUCCCACGUCAUCUUAGAUAUUUCAUUCAUUGUCACUACUCUUAAUUUUGGUUUACAAAUUUGCCAUGGGUUAAUGAAUUUUUCAGGUUCUACUGAAUUUUUCAUGUUGAAUUUGAUUGUAUACAUACUUGCUAAUCCAAUUAUAGAUAGCUAAAUAAAUUGAAGAUGAUGCCACUUUGUGCAUUGUACAUCUAUUGGAAAUGGCAAUAUUUACAUGACCAACACUUUCCCAUUCAGUUUAGUCUGCUAUUCUGCUUGUACUAUCAUUUCUUCAGAUAUAUAGAUUUUUUGUUCUACUAAACUCUCAUGCUACUUGAAGUUUACGUAGAGAGUUUCGGUGGAGCAAAGCAGAAAGGAGUUCAGUGCGAAGGAGAAUAGGAGGGAGGAGAGAUCUGGACGCACCAAGACAAACAAGCGAGCUGAUCAUGCCGCCAACCUUGUUCUGUGCGGCUCGCUGGAGCCAGACGAUGAGUCCUUGCCUGCCUCUGGCCCUCCUAACAAUUGCUGUGAACCCUGUUAUGCGCCCUUGGCUGAUCAGCCAAUCUUACUAUACCUUUCCCCCUCCCGGGUCAUCAUGCUCAGGCCCUAGCUUGCAUCUUGAAGGACUUGGCGCAGUUGUGACGUUAAUGAACAACACUCCAAUCAGGGACCACAGUGACCUCGGGGAGGAGAUCAAGAGAAUCAACAACCCUUGGUGGUUUUCCUCAUCAUCGGCACAACUGCAAUCAGCAACAAUGAUGACCAGCUCACAAGGCAGCUACUGAACCGUUCGAGCCUUGUUGCAAAGACAACAUGGAGACCGAGAGUGAUCCAGAGAGAGGGGGGAGACCGGGAGAGGGAGGAAGAGUGUUCGAGAGAGGGAAUGAGGGAGAGUGAGGAGGAAGAAACCUUGCAAGUACACAUUGGUAGGACAACCAUAUUCUAAAAUAAAAAAUGGGAUUUGGUGGCAAGCCAUCAUUGUCUUUGUUCCCGGUGUCUGUCACACACGAUAACUUUAAUGUCGAAUGCAUAAUGGAUGCAUUCUUAAAUUAUUUGAUUAUAGAAUUUUUAGCUCUUGAUAUUCA